AGGAAAUGGUGCUUGCAAUCCUGAACGAAUCGGACCUGCCACUUAUGAUCAAACUGUGGAAAUCAUGUUCGUUCCCCAGAAAGUCCCAAGGAGGCUCUUCACCUGACCCAUGUCAGUGCAAUAUUGGACAAGAGUUAUGGCCUAAGGUGGUCAUCUUGCUGGACAUAUUUGCUUGGGUGCUAUCGUGGGCGAUAUAUCCACUUUGUUCGGUUAAGAUUCAACUAUUCUUUCUCGGGACAAGCAGGAGAUGAUGGGAGUGAAGGCACUCCCGUGUUUCACAUGGUACGUUCUGAACUUAAUUUUCAUGGUUUAUGGAACUGCUGAAUAUGUUAUAUAUCAAUACUUCUGUCAUGUGUCAUCUAAAGAAUGUUGCCUCCUGUAGUUCAGUGAGGUGAAGCACAAUACCAAAGUUGGUUGCUUCUGAUAUUUAAGUGUGUCAUUAUACUCUGGUAUUAGUGGGUUAUUAGUAAUUGCCAAUCUGGAGUAUAUAUUUGUUGGACAAGGUUGUAUAAUAUAUGGGCCAGAAUAUUCACUGGUUUGCAAAGCCAACUUAUACAGAACUCAUAUUCAUAUUGCAGAAUUAUGAUGUAGUUUCUUCACAUGGAUGUAGUUCUUCUGCUAGCAUUCAGAUAUAGUAGUCAAUUCUUUUGGCGGUGUUGUAGAAUAUUGUAGCUGAACAGGUUUGCAUAUGUUCUCUGCAUAUAUUUUUUCACAUGCAUGAUCUGCAAAGUUCCAUUUUGGUAAAUACCACCAAAUUUACAGUCGAGUAGUUCAAUCAGUGCGGCUCAUGGUAGUUUUUUCGAGAUCCCUCUUGAAAACUGUUUCUCCUCUUUAUAACUUUGAUAGACUCUU